GACGAACGCUGGCGGCGCGCUUAACACAUGCAAGUCGAGCGAUGAAACUUUAACAGCACCCUUCGGGGCGAAUAUAAAGUUGAUUAGCGGCGGACUGGUGAGUAACACGUGAGUAACCUGCUUUAGACAUUGGGAUAGCCGCGGGAUAUCGUUACUAAUACCAAAUAAAAUCAUAAUGACACAUGGCAUAACGAUCAAAACUCCGGUGGUCUAAGAUGGACUCGCGUCCCAUUAGCUAGUUGGUAGAGUAAAAGCCUACCAAGGCGACGAUGGGUAGCCGGACAGAGAGGGUGAGCGGCAACACAGGAACUGAGGAACGGUACAAACUCCUACUGGAGGAAACAGUGGGGAAUAUUGCACAAUGGACGGAACUCUGAUGCAGCGAGCCCGCGUGAACGAAGCACGCUUCGAAGUCGUAAAAUUCUUUUAUAUGGGAAGAUAAUGACGGUACCAUAAGAAAAAGCCCCGGCUAACUACGUG
rnacentral:rRNA from 1 species